ensembl:lncRNA
CUUCGACAAUGUGUCGCAAGGAGGCGCUCUUAUUCAAGUUUUUCUUACCUCCUCGGUCGAACUUGCUGGCCGUUCCUCUGUUCUCAAUUGACUUCUGUACCAUCUUGUUUUGGUAUAGAAAAAUCUGACAAAUAUCGUUUAUAAUUUCCUGACAUUUUGCAGUAAGAAGACUGUCAAUGCAGACAAAUUUAAACUGAAAACAACAACUGAACAACUGAAAAAGACAACUGUAAACCCGCGAGCGUCUCACGCGCUGCGAAUGCGGUUGUAAACAUAUGCUACGCAUUCGCAGCGCGUGAGACGUCCGUUGAAUAUUUGACAGUCGAGUCGUGAGUUUUAGUCGUGAGAUGCUACAGAAAAAUAAAGAAAAUGGCAAAAUAUGCACUAUUUGACUUUCCGGAUGAAGGGGCUGUGGACAUAGGCGAAAUAUCAUGGGUGGUAGGCGAAGUAAAUUUAAAAGAUCCUUUUGUAACGUAUAAAGUUAAUUGGCCAAACAAGGGAAGGAUUGUGUCAUGUCCAGACAGAUUAUAUCAGUCAGUGGUAAGUAGCACAAGUUUUUUUCUCCUUUGACUAUGUUUAUAUAAAAUAUGUGCAUAACUACAUACAUAUGGUAAUAUUUCAAAUAUCACGGUAAACGUUUUCGUUUCAAAAACGUUGUUAAUUGUUAAGCUCGCAACGGUAGGCACGAUAAGGCCCCCUAGCUCGCCGCCUAUAAUGUGAGGCGCGGGAAGUGUGGGGUGCGCGGCCUGGAUUUAUAGAGAGAAACUUUAUUUUGCCCAAAAUACUAGUAUUUUAAACACACAUUAUGAAAACGUCAUAAUUUUGACGUUUUCAGACAACAGAGAGGAGUUAGUUUGCAAGAGGAGGCAUUAUCUUCAUGGUGGAGACAAACUGUCGAGCCCGGAGUAGAAAGGGAAGGGGAAAAGGAAGAAACUGAAGAAUGGUCGAGAAAGGGAAGGGAAAAAGGAAGAAACUGAAGAAUGGUCGAUAUUCUGACGACGACGACGACGACGACGACGACGACGUAGUAUCGCUGUGCUGCCAGACGCUUUGCAGAAGAUGGAGGAGUUUCUCCGCUCAGCACCAAGACCAACGACAACACCAAUACCAACACCAACACCAAGACCAGAACCAUCACUAUCACCAGCACCAACAGCAGUUCCACCACCAGCAACAGAAGACCCAUCACCAGCUCCAGGUCCAUCAUCAGCAUCAGCAACAGAGGCCCUGGGCCACUCUGUCAUUCCAAAAGGACUUGUGGAGCGCUGCUCCUUCCAAAGCCCCCAGAAGUUCAUAAAUGAUCUCCUACAUGGGAUGUAUACCAGGGAAUAUAUGGCAGGCCAUUCAGUGACUGGCCAGUCAUCCAGCAGCUGCACAGAAGGAAAACCUGGCCUAGCCAAACAGGACCUUGUUGAAAUAACAAGUAGGUAUAUAGAAAUGAGAAAAGAUGUUGGUUGAGUGAUACCCUCAUUCUCAUGCUCAUCUUUCGUGUAUGUGUUUGUGUGUGUGUGUGUGUAUUCCCAAAGAUGCUGCAAAGUUGAAGUUCACCUACGUAACUGAUACGAACAUAAAAGCAUUUAUACGACAAAAGCUGAACAAUGCUGCCAAAUUUCAGAAACAAUAAAUUAUCAACUGUUAAA